rnacentral:rRNA from 1 species
ACAGCAGCAGCCGCGGUAAUACGUAGGGUGCAAGCGUUAAUCGGAAUUACUGGGCGUAAAGCGUGCGCAGGCGGUUAUAUAAGACAGAUGUGAAAUCCCCGGGCUCAACCUGGGAACUGCAUUUGUGACUGUAUAGCUAGGAUACGGCAGAGGGGGAUGGAAUUCCGCGUGUAGCAGUGAAAUGCGUAGAUAUGCGGAGGAACACCGAUGGCGAAGGCAAUCCCCUGGGCCUGUACUGACGCUCAUGCACGAAAGCGUGGGGAGCAAACAGGAUUAGAUACCCCGGUAGUCCCUGUCUCUUAUAC